rnacentral:rRNA from 1 species
GGGGAGCGAAAUAGAAGUAGCGAAGCGGGUGAAUCCAUACUGUCGAGAAAAGCCGCUAUAGCUCCAUAUGUACCCGUACCGUAAACCGACACAGGUGGAUGAGGAGAGAAUCCUAAGGCCGGCGGGAGAAGUGUUGUUAAGGAACUCGGCAAAAUGGUCCCGUAACUUCGGGAGAAGGGACGCCAGAGUGAUCUGGCCGCAGAGAAAAGGCUCAAGCAACUGUUUAGCAAAAACACAGGUCUAUGCGAAACCGAAAGGUGAGGUAUAUGGGCUGACGCCUGCCCGGUGCUGGAAGGUUAAGGGGAGAGGUUAGCGCAAGCGAAGCUUUGAACUUAAGCCCCAGUAAACGGCGGCCGUAACUAUAACGGUCCUAAGGUAGCGAAAUUCCUUGUCGGGUAAGUUCCGACCCGCACGAAAGGCGUAAUGAUUUGAGCGCUGUCUCGACAACACACCCGGUGAAAUUGAAAUACCAGUGAAGAUGCUGGUUACCUGCGCCAGGACGGAAAGACCCCAUGGAGCUUUACUCCAGCUUGAUACUGGGACUAGGUAAUGUAUGUACAGGAUAGGUGGGAGCCAGAGAAGAUAAGACGCCAGUCUUAUUGGAGGCGAUGUUGGGAUACCACCCUUGCGUUAUUUGGUUUCUAACAUAAGCCCGUGAACCGGGCGAUGGACAAUGUCAGGCGGGGAGUUUGACUGGGGCGGUCGCCUCCGAAAGGGUAUCGGAGGCGCUCAAAGGUUCCCUCAGGAUGGACGGAAACCAUCCAAAGAGUGCAAAGGCAGAAGGGAGCUUGACUGUGACACCGACGGGUGGAACAGGUACGAAAGUAGGACUUAGUGAUCCGGUGGUAUUAAGUGGGAAUGCCAUCGCUCAACGGAUAAAAGCUACCCUGGGGAUAACAGGCUUAUCACUCCCAAGAGUUCACAUCGACGGAGUGGUUUGGCACCUCGAUGUCGGCUCAUCGCAUCCUGGGGCUGAAGUAGGUCCCAAGGGUUGGGCUGUUCGCCCAUUAAAGCGGUACGCGAGCUGGGUUCAGAACGUCGUGAGACAGUUCGGUCCCUAUCCGGCGUGGGCGUAGGAAGUUUGAGAGGAGCUGUCCUUAGUACGAGAGGACCGGGAUGGACUGACCGCUGGUGGAUCUGUUGUUUGACCAGAAGCAUGGCAGAGUAGCCAAGUCAGGAGCGGAUAAACGCUGAAGGCAUCUAAGCGUGAAGCCGACCUCAAGAUAAGACUUCCCAUACGAAAGUAGUAAGACCCCUUGAAGACGACGAGGUAGAUAGGGCAGAGGUGGAAGCAUAGUAAUAUGUGGAGCUGACUGUUACUAAUCGGUCGAGGGCUUGACCUG